GAUUGGGCACCGACAGGCAGCUCGACCAUCUCUCCCUCCCUCCCUCCCUCCCUCGUCCUCCCAGUUCAGCAUUGUGAGUGAGUGUGUGAGUUUGUAAAGUGUGUAUAUGAGUGUGUGUGUGUGUGUGUGUGCAGCAGAAAGGCAGGCGUGUUUCAACAGAUGGCUUGAGUUGUCCCUGCUGCAGUGGGCACUCUGACAGAGAGAGAGAGAGAGAGAGAGAGAGAGAAAGGGGGGGGUUAUUCCAUGGAGCUCAAGCUGUAGGGAAAAGGGACUUUUCAAAAACUCUCCGCUUCCCUCAGCUGAGUUCUUCUGCGUCUCCACUUUCCUCCCUCAGACCUGCAGCCGAGAGGACGCCAGUUUCUCACAGAGAGAGAGAGAGAGAGAGAGAGAGAGAGAGAGAGAGAGAGACAGCAGGAUCCGGACAGACAGAGCAGACCAGACGCCACCUGCUCCCGAGACGGAGAGUCUGCAGCCGCGCUGAAGAGGCGACGGACCCUCUGGGCAGCAAAUAAGGCCACCGCAUCCCCCUUCCCCCACCCCCCCAGACCCCUCGGGCACUGAAAACCUCGCUGGCAGGUGAGUGACAUGGACAUUGUCUCUUUCUAAUAUAGAUAUAUGGAAGCUGUUGCAUUCCCACUGCCGGAACUCGGACGUGCGUUGACAGACGUUACAUUUCAAUUAACUUUCAAAAUGCUAAUAGAAAAAGGAAACGAAUCACUCAUUCACAAAUAGCGCUUAUUCCUGAAUAGGGUCGCAGCUACCAGAGACCAUAUAUCAUAUAUCAUGUGCCAUAUUUUGCAAAACUGCAAUUGAGAUAUACUAAAGAAGUAAAAUACAUGGCACAGUGUGUCUGGAUGGAUGAUCACCUCGCAGAAAUCUCUCAUAUAUGAGACUUACCUUUCAAUGUGUCUCUUUUGUUAGAAAUAAGAACGUCUAGUAUGGUAUCUGAAUGGAAGUGCAGGCAUUUGUUCUUUGAUUUCAGAAAUAUCUCUUUAGUUUGUAAGUCUGUAAUGAAGACGUGACUAUUUUCCAAAGCCAGGAGUAAAACCUGGACACACACACACACACAUUUCUUCCUGUGUUCAUAGUUUCAUAGUUAAAAGGCCAGUUUGUUAAUGUGUUAGUAUGUGGUUAUGUUAGUGUGCGUGUGUGUGAUGGAUGAGUGUUUAUAAGACAUGUCAGAGCGGGACGGAUGUGGAAAGCGAGAGAGUGUGCGAUGAAAGAAAGAUGUGAGGUCAGAGGCUCUUCGUUCAUGAUGACAUUCCCUCACCGUGAACACACACAUUCCACAUUACGUAUGGCACAUGCACACAAAUAAUGGGAGGUGAAGGGGUGCAAGGAUGACCUCAUGUGAACACACACACACACACACACACACACACUAGCCCUUGUCUUUAUGUAUACGGCC
ensembl:lncRNA